rnacentral:rRNA from 1 species
UGCAAGUCGAGCGGGGACAUUCGACGGACCAGAAGUUUCGGAUGGAAGGGAGAUGAAUGUCUAGCGGCGGACGGGUGAGUAACGCGUGAGCAACCUGCCUUCACAGGGGGAUAACACAGCGAAAGUUGUACUAAUACCGUAUAAGACCACGCGGGGCAUCCCCGAAGGGGUCAAAGGAGCAAUCCGGUGAAGGGUGGGCUCGCGUCCGAUUAGAUAGUUGGUGAGGUAACGGCCCACCAAGUCGACGAUCGGUAGCCGACCUGAGAGGGUGAUCGGCCACAUUGGGACUGAGACACGGCCCAAACUCCUACGGGAGGCAGCAGUGGGGAAUAUUGGGCAAUGGGGGAAACCCUGACCCAGCAACGCCGCGUGAGGGAAGAAGGUUUUCGGAUCGUAAACCUCUGUCCUUGGUGAAGAGGAAGAGACGGUAGCCAAGGAGGAAGCCCCGGCUAACUACGUGCCAGCCGCGGC